rnacentral:rRNA from 1 species
GAUGAACGCUAGCUACAGGCUUAACACAUGCAAGUCGAGGGGCAGCAGGGAUUUAGCUUGCUAAAUUCGCUGGCGACCGGCGCGACGGGUGCGUAACGCGUAUCCAACUUUCCCGUUACUCAGGGAUAGCCUUCCGAAAGGGAGAUUAAUACCUGAUGGUGUUUGAAAUUCGCAUGUUCUUCAAACUAAAGAUUUAUCGGUAACGGAUAGGGAUGCGUGACAUUAGAUAGUAGGCGGGGUAACGGCCCACCUAGUCUACGAUGUCUAGGGGUUCUGAGAGGAAGGUCCCCCACACUGGAACUGAGACACGGUCCAGACUCCUACGGGAGGCAGCAGUGAGGAAUAUUGGUCAAUGGUCGGAAGACUGAACCAGCCAAGUAGCGUGAAGGAUGAAGGUUCUAUGGAUUGUAAACUUCUUUUAUAUAGGAAUAAAACCUCCCACGUGUGGGAGCUUGUAUGUACUAUAUGAAUAAGCAUCGGCUAACUCCGUG